GUUGGGCAUGGUGGCUCAUGCCUGUCAUCCCAGUGGCUCUGGAGGCUGAGGCAAGAGGAUCAGGAGUUCAAAGCCAGCCUCUGCAAAAGCGAGGCAUUAAACAACUCAGUGAGACCCUGUCUCUA
rnacentral:sRNA from 1 species